rnacentral:rRNA from 1 species
GAUGAACGCUGGCGGCGUGCUUAACACAUGCAAGUCGAACGAUGAACCGGGUGCUUGCACUCGGGGAUUAGUGGCGAACGGGUGAGUAACACGUGAGCAACCUGCCCCUGACUCUGGGAUAAGCGCUGGAAACGGCGUCUAAUACUGGAUAUGUCCCGUCACCGCAUGGUGUGCGGGUGGAAAGAUUUUUCGGUUGGGGAUGGGCUCGCGGCCUAUCAGCUUGUUGGUGAGGUAAUGGCUCACCAAGGCGUCGACGGGUAGCCGGCCUGAGAGGGUGACCGGCCACACUGGGACUGAGACACGGCCCAGACUCCUACGGGAGGCAGCAGUGGGGAAUAUUGCGCAAUGGGCGAAAGCCUGACGCAGCGACAUCGCGUGAAGGAUGACGGUCCUCGGAUUGUAAACUUCAAUAGUCUAUUAAAAAAUCUUGAUUGAUAGAUGAAAGCCCUGGCUAACCACGUGCCAGCCGCCGCCGUAA